rnacentral:rRNA from 1 species
GAUGAACGCUGGCGGCGUGCCUAACACAUGCAAGUCGAACGGAAAGGCCCUGCUCUUGUGGGGUGCUCGAGUGGCGAACGGGUGAGUAAAACGCGUGUAUCAUGCCCUUGUCUUUGGGAUAACUUCAGGAAACUGGGGCUAAUAUCGGAUAGGAGCUCCUGCUGCAUGGUGGGGGUUGGAAAGUUUCGGCGGUUGUGGAUAGACUCGCGGCUUAUCAGCUUGUUGGUGGGGUAGUCGAUUACCAAGCCUUUGACGGGUAGCCGGCCUGAGAGGGGGGCCGGGCACAAUGGUACUGAGGUACGGACCAGUCUCCAAUGUGAGGCAACGGGGGAAAGUAUUACGCAGUAAGCGGGAGUCUGAGACGACGACGCCGGGUUCGGAAUGACGGCCUUCGGGUUGAGAACCGCUGUGUCCGGUGACGAAGCGGUAUUGACGGUAAUGGAUAAAGAAGCACCGGCUAACUACGUG